rnacentral:rRNA from 1 species
UACGAAGGGGGCUAGCGUUGUUCGGAAUUACUGGGCGUAAAGCGCACGUAGGCGGGGCGUUAAGUCAGGGGUGAAAUCCCGGAGCUCAAAUCCGGAACUGCCUUUGAUACUGGCGAUCUUGAGAUCGGAAGAGGUGAGUGGAAUUCCCAGUGUAGAGGUGAAAUUCGUAGAUAUUGGGAAGAACACCAGUGGCUAAGGCGGCUCACUGGGCCGAUACUGACGCUGAGGUGCGAAAGCGUGGGGAGCAAACAGG